UGUGUGUAUGUAUAUAUAUAUAUAUAUAUAUAUAUAUAUAUAUAUAUAUAUAUAUAUAUAUAUAUAUAUAUAUAUAUAUAUAUAUAUUUUUUUUUUUUUUAUUGGGGUAGCCACCAAAAUAUUGGGACAUAUAAAAAAAAAGACAACUCUGUUCCGCAGAGUAGCUGUUGACAUUAUAGUUGCGCAGGCACUUUGUUGACUCUAGAGAACCUCGGGCCAAUCGCACAUCCCGGCGACUUUGCAUUCGGAUGUCAUCCAUAUCAACUUUCGAUGCCAGUUUCUGCGCCUACCAUGCUGACCACGGGUAACAGGAAAUCAGGGUUCCAUUCCGUACAGGGACCCUGAGAAAUGGCUAUCACAUGCAAGGAAGGCAGCAGGUGCGCAAAUGACCCACCCCUGAUGCGGGAAGGUAGUGACGACAAACAACAAUACAGGACUCUUUAGAGGCCCUGUAAUUGUAAUGAGUCCACUUGAAAUCCUUUAACUCUGAUCAAUUGGAGGGAAGUCUGGUGCAGAGCCACUGACCCGUGGGUGCUACAGCUGAAACUCCACU
rnacentral:rRNA from 1 species